UACGUAGGGGGCAAGCGUUGUCCGGAAUCAUUGGGCGUAAAGAGCGUGUAGGCGGCUCGAUAAGUCUGCUGUGAAAGUCCGAGGGCUCAACCCUGGAAGGCCGGUGGAAACUGUCGGGCUAGAGUCCGGAAGAGGCGAGUGGAAUUCCCGGUGUAGCGGUGAAAUGCGCAGAUAUCGGGAGGAACACCAAUGGCGAAGGCAGCUCGCUGGGACGGUACUGACGGCUGAGACGGCGAAAAGCGUGGGGAGCCAAACAGGGAGUU
rnacentral:rRNA from 1 species